UACGUAGGUGGCAAGCGUUGUCCGGAUUUACUGGACGUAAAGAGCGCGCAGGCGGUCGUUCAAGUCGCGUGUGAAAGCCCCCGGCUCAACUGGGGAGGGUCACGCGAUACUGAUCGACUCGAAGGCAGGAGAGGGAAGUGGAAUUCCCGGUGUAGUGGUGAAAUGCGUAGAUAUCGGGAGGAACACCAGUGGCGAAGGCGACUUCCUGGCCUGUUCUUGACGCUGAGGCGCGAAAGCUAGGGGAGCAAACGGG
rnacentral:rRNA from 1 species